rnacentral:rRNA from 1 species
GAUGAACACUAGCGACAGGCUUAACACAUGCAAGUCGAGGGGCAGCAUAAAAGUAGCAAUACUUUGGUGGCGACCGGCGCACGGGUGAGUAACGCGUAUGCAACCUACCUAUCAGAGAGGAAUAACCCGGCGAAAGUCGGACUAAUACCGCAUAAAACAGGGGCACCGCAUGGUGAUAUUUGUUAAAGAAAUUCGCUGAUAGAUGGGCAUGCGUUCCAUUAGGUAGUUGGUGAGGUAACGGCUCACCAAGCCGACGAUGGAUAGGGGAACUGAGAGGUUGGUCCCCCACACUGGUACUGAGACACGGACCAGACUCCUACGGGAGGCAGCAGUGAGGAAUAUUGGUCAAUGGGCGGGAGCCUGAACCAGCCAAGUCGCGUGAAGGAAGAAGGAUCUAUGGUUCGUAAACUUCUUUUGCAGGGGAAUAAAGUGCAGGACGUGUCCUGUUUUGUAUGUACCCUGAGAAUAAGGAUCGGCUAACUCCGUGCCAGCCGCCGCCGUAAGAC